AUCGGGAAAGUUCUGGUCAUUGUCCUUUUUUAUGGAUGUGUUGAUUUUUUUUUCCUGUUUUUGUUCAUGUUAAAUAAAACUAAAUUUGCUGCUCUCUCUAGUCUUUUUGUGCCUUUUUCAAUUAUUUGAGUGCACUUGGUUUUCCUUCCAAGCUACAUGUGCUAUUCCAUUUGUUGGGUUUUAUUUGUGCCCAAAGUUAUUUCAAAGGUUGUUGUAAUUUUGUCCAAUAAUCAGAACUGAAGUUUGGGUGCAUAUGGCAG
rnacentral:misc_RNA from 1 species